UAAAUAAUCUAAUAUUACAUCACAAGACCCUAGGAAAAGAAGAAUAAAUCAACUCCAAAAUCAGUAGAUGUUAGAAAAUAAUUAAGAUCAGAGCCAAAAUUAGUGAAAUUGAGAAUUAAUAAACAAGGGAUCACUGCAACAGAGUUAGUUCUUUGAAAAAUAAGCAAGAUUGAUAAACCAUUAGCCAAACUAACCAAAAGAAAGAGAAGACCCAAAUCAACAAAAUUAAAGAUGAAGAAGGAGAUAUCACCACAGACAUUUCUGAAAUCCAGAAGAUCAUUAGAAACUAUUUUGAAAAUUUAUAUUCACUCCAAUAAGUCGGAAAAUGUUGAAGACAUUGACAAAUUUCUGGACACUUAUGACCUACCUCAAUUGAACCAUGAGGAUGCAGAAAUAAACAUACCAAUAUUUAGCAUUGGUCUGUUUGCUGAUUGAAGCAGCAAUUAAAAGCUUUCCAACAGAGAAAGGCCCAGGACCAGUUAUGUUCUCAGCUGAGCUCUAGAAGACCUUUAAAGAAGAAUUAACACCAAUCCUUCUCAAAUUAUUUUAUAAAAUUAAAAGGAGGGAACACUGCCAAUUCAUUCUAUGAAGCCAGUAGUAUCCUGACACCAAAAUCAGACAGAGGCACAUCAAGGAAAGGAAACUUCACAUCAAUUUCCCUGAUGAACAUAUAUGCAAAAAUCCUUAUUAAAAUGUUUGCAAAUCACCUUCAAAAACACAUUAGGAAGAUAGUGUACUACAAUCAAGUGUGUUUCAUCUCAGGGAUGCAAGAUUGGUUCAAUAUGUGCAAAUUGAUAAAUGUAAUUUACCACAUAAAUUGAAUUAAGGCCAAGAAUCCCACAAUCAUCUCGAUACAGAAAAAGAUUUUGACAAAAGCCAGCACCCAUUCAUGUUAAAAGCACUGCAGAAACUAGGAUAGAGGAAAUUUAACCUCAGCUUUGUAAAGCUAUAUUUGUUUAUAGCUAUAUGCUAUAAACCCAAGUCCAACAUCAUACUGAGUGGAAAAAAAACUGAAAGCAUUUACUUUAAAAUCAAGAAAAAAAAUAAGGAUGCCCACUCUCAACCCUCCUAUUCAACAUAGUUCUUAAAACUUUAGCCAGAGCAAUAAGGCAAGAAAAGAAAAUUAAAGGGAUACAAAGAAGAAAAGAUGAAGUCAUGAAGUCAUGAAGUCAUGAUCCCAUAUCUAGAAGGCCAUUCUCCUCGCCCAAAGCGACUCC
rnacentral:lncRNA from 1 species